GAUGAAGAACGUAGCGAAAUGCGAUAAGUAAUGUGAAUUGCAGAAUUCAGUGAAUCAUCGAAUCUUUGAACGCACCUUGCGCCCUUUGGCCAUUCCGAAGGGCAUGCCUGUUUGAGUAUCAUGAACACCUCAACUCUCAUGGCUUGCCAUGAUGAGCUUGGACUUUGGGGGUCUUGCUGGCCUGUGGUCGGCUCCUCUCAAAUGAAUCAGCUUGCCAGUGUUUGGUGGCAUCACAAGUGUGAUAACUAUCUGCGCUCGUGGUUUCCAUCAGAUAACCUCCAGUGAUGGAGGUUCGCUGGAGCUCAUAAAUGUCUCUCCUAAGCGAGGACAGCUCUUUUAAUGUUUGAUCUCAAAUCAGGUAGGACUACCCGCUGAACUUAAGCAUAUCAAUAAGCGGGA
rnacentral:misc_RNA from 1 species